UCUGAGUUGUGGUGCUACGUUUGAUUUACACUAGCUACUUGCUAAAUUGUUGCACUUUUUGCUUACUCUAUUAUUUUGGUACAUAGAACUUUUCACUAGUAUUGUGGUGUUGUACAACCAUAAAUAGAAUGAAUAUUUUUCAACGUGUAAUGCUAUUGGGGCCAGGGAUUGGAUCCAGGGCCGAGGUGGUGUGACCUCAGCCCUGGAUCCAAUCCCUGGCCCCUGCGCCACCUCGCCUUGGAUCCAAUCCCUGCCCACUCCCUUGUAUUUGCAGCAGGGCUCUUUUUCAACUUGUAUUUCAAGUCUCUUUGCAGGAACCAAUGGUCCUUCUAGUAAUGGUACAUUUACAUGUACUUAAGUUGCCUUUACUUGAUGUUGCCAUAACUUCUGUUCAUUGUUUGAUUAUAUGGAGUGGCUAUUAGUUUUUAUCACUG
rnacentral:lncRNA from 1 species